GCUAAAUAGUGCAUCACGCGCUUCGGCUGCAUUAACUAUUCUAAUCACCUUCAAACUCCUGGAAAGCGGUGCUAUUCUGUACAUCUUACAGAGAAGGAAACCGGCCAGAACCGUUUGUAAACACUUCCAUAAUUCCCAAGUUCAAGUCGCCUUCCAUGCCUCCUAGGAGAGUGAAGCAAAUACCAGACUCCGCACAGUCAAAACUUCGGUUGUCUCCAGCCAUACCAACGCUCGUGCACGUGCACACGCGUGUGUGCGCGCGUAUACACACACACACACACGCACGCAUGCACGCACGCCGAGGCCUGGAGCCCUAAUGAAAGGAAUCCUCAAUCACAGACUCUCGUCUAACUGACUUACUUUAUGUGUAUGAAUGACUUGCCUGUGCCCACAGACGUCAGAAGAGGUGUACUGGAUCUCCUGAAACUGGAUUUAUAAAUGUUUGUGAGCCUCCACAUGUGACCAAAGCCGAUGGAUCAUUAUACCAUUUUCUGGGCCCUCACCUGAUCUCUUACAUUCCUACAAACAAAAUCCAACAUUCAAGCAAUAGCAUAUGAGAGCGAGGAACCCAGAAGCCCAGGGAGCUUCUAAACGGUGACUGUGGAGAGCAGCCAAGGAUGAAGAAUGGUGCCAAGUGCAGAAUCCUCGAGUUGCUCCCUGCAACAGCAGAAACGCGUGCACAAAGUGUACUUCACAGGGGCAAAGCAUCUCACCUACAAAGAUAGAGCACAGGCGGAUAAUAGUGGGGAAUCAGGGAAUAGAAUGUUUCAGGAGAAUGUUCUCUGAAGAAAAAGCCAACGACUUUUGGAGAAGGAAGA